GGGAGAAGAAAUAUGAUAAUUUUCAAAUCAUUUUUGAUUUUGAUGCAUCUUUUUGCUAUUUUGGCAGCUUCCAAUGGAAUCAGAUCAAUGCCAGAAUCGGAGAACAUUAAUGCCAAAACAAGACGGUGCUUAAGCAAAGCGACAGACAAUAACCUCAGUCGACAGGUACACUGUAC